UACGGAGGGUGCGAGCGUUGUCCGGAAUUAUUGGGCGUAAAGGGUUUGUAGGCGGUUUGUCGCGUCGGGUGUGAAAUCCACUGGCUUAACUGGUGGCUUGCUUUCGAUACGGGCAGACUGGAGGUAUGCAGGGGAGAACGGAAUUCCUGGUGUAGCGGUGAAAUGCGCAGAUAUCAGGAGGAACGCCGGUGGCGAAGGCGGUUCUCUGGGCAUGUCCUGACGCUGAGGAGCGAAAGUGUGGGGAGCGAACAGG
rnacentral:rRNA from 1 species